rnacentral:rRNA from 1 species
CCUACGGGAGGCAGCAGUGGGGAAUAUUGGACAAUGGGGGAACCCUGAUCCAGCCAUGCCGCGUGUGUGAAGAAGGCCCUCGGGUUGUAAAGCACUUUCAGUGAGGAAGAACGCCUGGUGGUUUAUACCCAUCAGGAAAGACAUCACUCACAGAAGAAGCACCGGCUAACUCCGUGCCAGCAGCCGCGGUAAUACGGAGGGUGCGAGCGUUAAUCGGAAUUACUGGGCGUAAAGCGCGCGUAGGUGGCUUGAUAAGCCGGUUGUGAAAGCCCCGGGCUCAACCUGGGAACGGCAUCCGGAACUGUCAAGCUAGAGUGCAGGAGAGGAAGGUAGAAUUCCCGGUGUAGCGGUGAAAUGCGUAGAGAUCGGGAGGAAUACCAGUGGCGAAGGCGGCCUUCUGGACUGACACUGACACUGAGGUGCGAAAGCGUGGGUAGCAAACAGGAUUAGAUACCCUUGUAGUC